CUUUGUUGUUUUCCUGCACACUAGCAGAACCGUUAAAUUGCAGAAGUUCUUCUGGGUUGCUUCUCCUUCCGAAAACGCUCGCAUCCCCCAUCCCAACAGCAACCCCCCCCCCCCAUUCCCUUUUUGCCCUUUGUUGCACCGAAAAUGAAGUUUAGCUUUGUAUGCUUUUAGGGCACUGGCACUAUGUUUCUCCUUUAAAGGGAAAAGGAGGCUGUGCAAUUUCUCUCAAUGGGACGUGGUGAUGGGAGUAGGGGCUCUAGGGCUAGAAGCUCGGAGAACAGCGCUGUUAAGUCUUACCUAGGGUGAAAACUGAGUGUAGAGCAGAAGAAAUGAAAGUGCCUCUGUUUUUCGCUGAAAAGAAGGGCGGCCAGUGGCCACAGCAGCUGUGUGCAAUCGGGAUGUGGGGCAUGAACCCACCCCCUGCGAGAGCUUUAGAGCAGCCCAUUCCGGGCGGUUGCUGUGUGGUUGUGCCUUGUGGUUUGUUUCUGUUUGUACCAGAGAGGGUUUGCUGUAGACAUGAAGGUUAUGGGAAAUAAUAAGAAUCUUCAACCUUGAACUUUGUUUUGUCUGUCCUCUGCGUGUGGGUGUGGUCAGAAAAUUUUGAAAUUUCAGGCAACUUCAAUUUUCUGGGCAAAAUUGUAGAUUAAAAACCAAAAUCUUGCUGAA